UACGGAGGAUCCAAGCGUUAUCCGGAUUUAUUGGGUUAAAGGGUAGCGUAGGCGGCUUAUUAAGUCAGGGUGAAAGACGGUGGCUCAACCAUCGCAGUGCCCUUGAUACUGAUGAGCUUGAAUACACGUUGAGGUAGGCGGAAUGUGACAAGUAGCGGUGAAAUGCAUAGAUAUGUCACAGAACACCAAUUGCGAAGGCAGCUUACUAAGGUGCAAUUGACGCUGAGGCACGAAAGCGUGGGGAGCAAACAGG
rnacentral:rRNA from 1 species